UAGUCUGAUAUUCCAUGUUUCU
rnacentral:miRNA from 1 species